UACGGAGGAUGCAAGCGUUAUCCGGAUUUAUUGGGUUUAAAGGGUGCGUAGGCGGGAUUGUAAGUCAGUGGUGAAAUCUUGCAGCUUAACUGUAAAAUUGCCAUUGAUACUGCGAUUCUUGAGUACAAUUGAGGUAGGCGGAAUGUGUAAUGUAGCGGUGAAAUGCUUAGAUAUUACACAGAACACCGAUUGCGUAGGCAGCUUACUAAGUUGUAACUGACGCUGAUGCACGAAAGCGUGGGUAGCGAACAGG
rnacentral:rRNA from 1 species